rnacentral:lncRNA from 1 species
CACCUGCUACGCGUGCACUGCUGUUAGGCUUAGUUUGGUAUUGAAAUCUAUCUGACGGUAUUAGAUAAAAGUAUUAAUUUCAUACAAAUUCCUAUAAUAUAAUGAAUUGUAAAUAUAACCCUACAAAAUUGAAGUUUCAUAUGUUGUCCCUAUAAAAGUCCUAAUAUUUUCAAAUAUUUUUCUCUAUUUUAUAAGUGAAAUGACUUUUAUGCUAUUAUAAAUAUGUUCCUCAAAAAAUUUCAACUGUUAAUAGAAGAGGGAUAAAAAAGUCAAUUCACCUCAUUAACUUACCGGUGUUAAGUAUUUAACCUAUGGUUAACUAAAUUUUUCUAGCAGAUUCUAACGGCAGAGACAUAUUUGAAAAUAUCAGAAUUUUUAUAAAAAUAAUAUAUAAAAGUUGAACUUUAUAGGGCUGUAUUUGUAAUUUAUUAUAUUUGCAGAGACCUGUAUAGUUGGGAUAGAAGCAUAUAGAAAUAUACUUAUAUGUUUUCCGGUGGGACCAUCAAAAGUAUAUUAUAGCCAACUCGUCGCGAUAUGCGAAACACAAUAUUAUAUACGGAAACAAACAGUGUAUUUUCUCAUUGUACUUCUUACCGUACGUAAUGCAAUCUUUCCAUAAUUCAAAACAUAGCCUUAAUUUUCGUUCCUCAAUAUUUAAAAUUAAAAUUUAUUUUGAUAUAUAUAAUCUACAUCAUUUAAAGUACCAAUGGAAUCAUAAUAUUUGAAAAUUUAUUAUUGAGGUACUGAAUAAAUUUAUGAAUUAAUAGUAAACAAAGAAUUAUUAUUUUAUUUUAUUGUAGGACAUAUUUAAUAAGUU